rnacentral:misc_RNA from 1 species
UCAUUAUUAUUAUUACUAUUAUUAUUAUUAUUAUUAUUAUAUCAUUUCUACAAACGAAAAGAAACAAAUCGAAUUAACGAGAUAAUUCGAUAGAACAGAAAUAUUCCAGAUGAAAUUUCGUAAAAGCGCGUCCAGGUCCAGUCCAAAAAUGGAAUUAUUGUCGAGACGAUCUACAACGAACGACGGCAAGAUGUCGACGUUAAAAAGAUCAAGAUCAUUUCGUGCUUCGGUUAAAUUAAUAUCGAAGAUUCGAAAUCGUGCGGCAUUCAAGUUUAACUCGGGUAUCGAACUUUCGCCAAUGUCUUCGAAAGAUUAUUGUAAAACGACGCGAUCGUUUUCCUCGAAGGAUACCAAUAAGAUAGAACAACAACAGCAACAAGAAUCGCCAAGGAUUAAUUUGAAAAAUAACGAAAAGAAAGAGAAGUCGAUUUGUAAUAAAAAAGGUACGAAAAAGUACGAAGACAUUUGUCAGGACGAUAAUCGAACGUUGUCAGAAACUAAUUCGUCGAUCGGAGUAGUAGAAUCUUGCGGUAUUACGAAGGAUUUUGAGAAAAAGCUUUCUCUCGGGGAUAAGAUAAACGUGAAAAAUCGAAAAUGUCUAGAAAAAUCUUGCGAGAGGAGAAGAAUCGAGGAAGAAACGAAGUCGCCAAAGGUCGUACGUAUUUUUUGUCGAAAAAUAAUAGCCGAUGAUAGAACAAAAAAGAGUAACGAUCAAAAAUCUAAGGUUAAGGGAAAGAUGGAAAGUGACGAAUGCGGUUACGAAAAUCCGAUGUUCUCUUUGGACAGUUCCCUUGAUUCGAGCUUUGCUUCUGUCGAAACGAAUUUUAAAAACGAGGAACAUGUAACACGUGGAAAAUGUUUCGAACGUGUAAUCGAAAAAACUAAUCUCCAGAAGGAGGAAGAGGAACAGCAGCAGCAGCAGCAAAGAUUCUCUAUGUCGUUACUUUCUUGCAAAUCUGAUCUCAAGUAUGUUAGGAGUUUCAGUAUGAAAGAGGAAAGAAGUUUCGAUAGAGAUAAAAGUCCCGGAGAUAAAAGAAACGAACGCCCAAGGACGAAUUUUUAUUCCGAAAGCGAAAUUAAUAGUUCACCGAGAUUGAGGGAUAAAUAUCUUAGUGAAUUUGUAUCGUCCGUUGAUAGUAGCACGGAAAGUGUUUGCUCGACUAAAUCAUGCAAAAAUCGGACUGUCGAUAAUUUGACUAAUUUUUGGACUAAUGCUCGUGGUGGAAGCUUUCGUAGCAAGAUGUCCGCCAGUAAAAAGAAACUUGGAAAGGAAUCAAAGGAUCUAGAAUCGAUCGGGCAGGAUCGAGUUCUCGUCACGACCACUUCUGGAUCAAAACUGCAAUCGCUACAAGGGAUGGAGUUCCUGGAAGGGUUUGGAAAAAAGAAGCAACAACCACAGCAACAACAUUCAAAUAAUCUAUCGUCGAUUCACAUUAAUCCUCUCUCGGCACAAUCCCUCAACAUACAUUUGCAUGCUCUUUUCGCAGCCGUCGAACAUGGUCAUUUGGACAAAGCCAGAACUAUUUUGGAAUCGACCGAUGUGGACGUGAACAGUGUUAACAGCGACGGUUUAUCACCAUUGGACGUCGCAGUACUCAGUAAUAACAGACCGUUGGCAAAAAUGUUGGUCACAUUCGGUGCUCAGGAAGGCAACCAAUUCAAGUCACCGGAGUCCUUGGGCAGUCAUUUGGCGUCGUUGCUGUUGGAAGCAGAACACAGAGUCCAAGAACUCGGUGGCAGCACUUCCGGCAGCGGUGGGAGCACUCUUUUGGAACCACCAAGCAGCCACAGAGCCAGUUUCUCGACGCAGCAUAAUAAUCUUACAGGAUGCGGAGGUAGCACUGAGGACAAGCAACUGGCCCUCUGGGAGAGGAGAGCUCGAGCACUCAGAAAAAUGUUACUAGGUUUUGAUCAAGCAAGACCACCUGACAUGCCAUUCAUGGUCGCAAUCGAUGUUACCGGAACGACCUCCGUGACAGUCAGAUUUCAAGAACCAGAUUCACAUGAUUCUCCAAUUUGUACGAAAUUCAAGGUUCAAUGGAGUCUCAAAGAGGAUUUUUCUACGAUAUGUGGGGAUAGAGAGGUUUUGGAUAUGAAGCAAAGAGAAUGUCGUAUCGAUGGACUCGUUCAAGGACAAAAAUAUUAUUUUCGCGCGGCUGCUGGAAAUUUAAAAGGCUAUAGCAGAUUUAGAAAUUCGACUCCUGCUCAUGUAACUCCUAGUAGUUGGAGAGACAUUGAUGGCAGGGUACCAAGAUUUGCAGGACGUUUAGAACAAUUGAACACCCUCUUUAGCGACAUCAGACGUCCGGAAUACACACACGAGACACCAGCAGUACAAAGACGCAAUCAUAAGAAGAAAACGACGAUAAAACAACUCUUCACCGCGACUAGCAAGUUUCAAAAAAAUUUGCGGCGUGGCGUAUUCCUUGCUUGUUUGCUUUAUCAUGAGGAUAAGGUGCUCGUAACCAAUGAAGACUUUUUACCUGUAAUCGAGGUCGAUGAAACCUAUCCUAGUUCUAUCUAUAACGAUUUUCACUGGCUCAUGAAAGUCGCGUGCACGUGGGACGACGUCAAGACUCUACGUCAAGAUAUGGAAAAAAGUCACAGCAGUUCGACCAAUCACUUUAGGAUAAAAUUGCUCCAGGCUGCUGCACAAAUGCAGGCCGCAUUGUGUACGCAAGAUCUUGGACAGUUAUAUCAUAAACCGAUCAGAGACAUUCAAGGAACCCUUGUAUUUUCGACAGUGAAUUAUGUAAAAUCACCAAAACUCGUGUCAGUCUUAAAUAGUAGGUGGCUUCCUUUGAGUAAAGUAACUAAAAAAAUAAUAACUCAUGAAGACAGCAACGUGGCAGAUAUUUUGAUGGCCAGUAUACAAGAACAAAUGACAUAUCACCAAGUCAGUAGUAUCAAAUUAUCAAAGGGCUUAUAUCUUGGUUAUUUGAAAAUGCAAAGUAGUGUGGAUCUUAUACAAGUGGUUGUACCGGCUAAAUCACCUAACGUCUUACCACAUUGUAAAAUACGUGACAACUCUCAUGUAUCUGCGGAAGAAUGGGAUUAUCUGAAAAGGAUAACUCGUAUUUAUGCGUCCGAUAAUUCUGUCAAAGAUUCAGAGGAGAAAGAAAAUGUAACAAAUGAAUGUCAGGGUACAGAACAGCAAAAAUUAUUCGUCGAUUUGGUUUCCGCAACGGCACGUCGUCUCUUUAAUUAUAUGGAAAUAAGUCCAGAGGAUUCUUUAUUAUAUCGACUUUACGAUGCCGAAGUAAUCGAUCUCACGCACGAUGUAUCAUUCCUAAUUGCCGUACCUCCUGCAGAAACAGCUUGUUGCGUACCUGGAACUAGAGAAAUUCUCUUACAAAGAGGAGACUUACUAUCUUUACCUAUUCAAGUAUUCGAAAUGGUUCACUUAAAUACAUACCAAAAGGAUGUAAUUAAUCGAUAUUCAAGACUAAGCUGUAUAUUGGAAUUAGACACCGCACAAGCUCAGCAUAAUCAUAGGGAAGCUUUUAGCUCUUUAGAACUAAGUGUAGCAAAAGAUAAACUUGCGCGAUUACAAGAUAUACAGACUCAAGUAAACACAGUAUGGAAGGGUGCUAGAUGGCUUAUCGACGUCAUCACUUUUGCAAGAGACCGUGGAUCCGGACAACAAAGCGGUACAUCACAGACUGUUGGUAUAUCUAUGAAACAUCUAUUAGGUUUAGACAGAAAUAAAAGCAACAGCAAUAGUUUAAAAAGAAGUCUUCUUCAGUUGCCACCUCGAGAUCCUAAACUCGUGAAAUCAAGUCCAGGACGUGGAAGUUGGCCAGGUCCAAAUGUUACGAAUUCUUCUUCCAAUUUACUUACAACGGAAUUCAGCAAAAGUGAACAACAAUUACCUAGUGGUCAAUACGUGUGCAAGUGUAGUCACGUUUCAACUAAGUCAGAACCUCAAAUAUCAUCCGUACCUACAAAUGUACGACUUCCACCUUCGAAAUCAGAGGACACUUUAUUACUUACCAAAUACAAACAUAGUCCUAGAAAUCGUUCGGCCACCAUCACUUCUGCGUCGGCAAGUACCAGUCCAUUACUUAAUAUAAAACCGAUUCUCUAUGGUGGAUCGCUUUUAAGCGUAUCAACAGCUAUGACCAACACCAACACGAGUCUUCUCAGUGUUAGUAACACGAAUUCCGACAGUCUUCAUUCCCUAAGCAGCGAUGAAUAUUCAACGCCAAAUUCAAGUGUAUGCUUAAAACCAGGACAUAUAAAAGUCAAAACGACUAAAUCCAACACUAGUAUAACAACUAUGGCUGCUUCAGUAGGAGAUAAUCAAUCGGAAGAAGAAAAGGAUGAAGCAACAAUGAUGCCAGCACCACUACCUGGUAUUCUUCAGGGGACGCAAGUCUAACCCGAUUAUAGUUAAAAACAGCUCACUUGGUCUUCUAGUGCAAACCAAUGUAGCAGAUACAUAAGUUUAUGCGGCCUAUGAAACUGGUUUGGCUUCUGGUACCAGUUUAAAAUUACAUGUAAAUCCACGAACCACAGCAAGAGAAGUUGUGGA